UGAGGUUUGCAUUCUAGAAAGCUAGAUCUUAGUUCCAGGCUUUGCCACCAAAUAGCUGGGAGAUCUUGCACGUUGGGGAGGACAGGUACCCUUCCCAACAGAGGCUGCCCUGCAGGCGCUCAUAAGCCAUACUUGGGCAUUGCCCGAACCAUGAGAUUCAUCUAAUUUGCUGUUCCUUGUCUUGUUAAUGAGGAUAACUAUCCCACUGCUUUGGAAAAAAACCUUGAAAUUCUAGUUCAGAGGCCAGACAGCAGGAUGCCGCCCUGCACAGGCGACUUCAAUUAGGUGCUGGGACUCACAACCUUGCGGCCUUAUCCUAGCUCAGUAUGGAAAUUACCUGCGACGGUCCCUAAAACUGGUAGAUGCCCUGGGCCCACCCACUCCAGCACAACUAAAUCGGAAUCUCCAGGAGGGCCCGAAACAUCAGUGUUGUUUAAAAUUUCCGGAGGUGAUUUUGAUGCUCAGCCCAGGUUGAGUGUGACUUGGGCCUAUGACUUCCCAUCAGUGACCAAAGGCUGCUAGCAUCUACCUUCUGUUCUCCUGCAGAUUAUGUUAUUAAACAAGUCACCUGAAUCUUCUAGACACUAAGAUCAGCACCGAGUGUUUGCUGUCAGUACAAAUGCAAAGGGGAUUAUGGGAAUGAUGUCGGUCAAGAGACUUGAAGUGAGUCUGCACGAGAAAACGGUAUUCUUAGGAGCCGUCCCUCUGUUCUUGUUUGCCACCUUAGGCCAAUUAAUGUGCGUCCAAGUUGUCAUUACUUGCUAACUUCUCUGAUCAGACUUACGUCUGGUACCCAGGUCAACAUGAUGUUGACGGUGAUGAUCGUGGUGAUGGUGGUGAGGAUGAUGGUAAUGGUGAUGAUGACGUUUCCCCAAUUCACUAGGCUGAGCAGUUCUGUGAAACGAUGGGCAUGACUCUGGGGUGUCAAGAGCUGGUCACCACUGUGACCUUGGGCCAGUCACUAUCCUUUCUGAGCCUUAGUUGUUUUUUUUCGUUUAUAAGAAGAGGUGUGAUAGACUAAAUGGGUUUUCCACAGCUAUUUCAGAGUGGAACCCUUCUAAAAUAAAGCGGUUUAGGGCUUCCCUGGUGGCGCAGUGGUUGGGAGUCCGCCUGCCGAUGCAGGGGACACGGGUUCGUGCCCCGGUCCAGGAGGAUCCCACAUGUCGCGGAGCAGCUGGGCCCGUGAGCCAUGGCCGCUGAGCCUGCGCGUUCGGAGCCUGUGCUCCGCAACGGGAGAGACCACAACAGUGAGACACGCGCGUACCAC
rnacentral:lncRNA from 1 species